AGGAUGAACGCUGGCGGCGUGCCUAACACAUGCAAGUCGAACGUCCUGUCUCGCAAGAGGCAGGGAGUGGCGGACGGGUGAGUACCACGUGGGUUAUCUACCGUGAGGUGAGGAAUACCGGCGAGAAAUCGCCGACAAGACCGCAUAGCCUCGGUGCAAGUCGAGGAAAGCUCUCUCGAGAGAGGGAGCGCCACACGAGGAGCCUGCGCCCGAUUAGCUAGCUGGUGGAGUAAUGGUUCACCAGGGCGACGAUCGGUAGCUGGUCUGAGAGGACGAUCAGCCACACUGGGAUUGAGAACGGCCCAGACUCCUACGGGGGCAGCAGUGAGGAAUUUUCGUCAAUGGGGCAACCCUGAACGAGCAACGCCGCGUGCAGGAAGAAGGUUUUCGGAUCGUAAACUGACUUUUCUCGGGGAAGAGAACGGACGGUACCCGAGGAAUCAGCCCCGGCUAACUACGCGCCAGCAGCCGCGGU
rnacentral:rRNA from 1 species